AACGAACGCUGGCGGCAGGCUUAACACAUGCAAGUCGAACGAGAUCUUCGGAUCUAGAGGCAGACGGGUGAGGAACACGUGGGAACAUCCCUUUCAGUUCGGAAUAACGUUGGGAAACUAACGCUAAUACCGGAUACGUCCUUCGGGAGAAAGAUUUAUCGCUGAAAGAUUGGCCCGCGUCUGAUUAGCUAGUUGGUGAGGUAACGGCUCACCAAGGCUACGAUCAGUAGCUGAUCUGAGAGGAUGAUCAGCCACAUUGGGACUGAGACACGGCCCAAACUCCUACGGGAGGCAGCAGUGGGGAAUAUUGGACAAUGGGCGCAAGCCUGAUCCAGCCAUGCCGCGUGAGUGAUGACGGCCUUCGGGUUGUAAAGCUCUUUUGUCCGGGAGGAUAAUGACUGUACCGGAAGAAUAGGCCCCGGCAAACUUCGUGCCAGCAGCCGCAGUAA
rnacentral:rRNA from 1 species